CCUACGGGCGGCAGCAGUAGGGAAUUUUGCGCAAUGGGCGAAAGCCUGACGCAGCAACGCCGCGUGAUCGAGACGCCCUUCGGGGUGUAAAGAUCUGUCAGUGGGGACGAAACUUGACUGUACCCACAGCAGAAGCACCGGCUAACUCCGGGCACGCAGCCGCGGUAAGACGGGGGGUGCAAGCGUUGUCCGGAAUCAUUGGGCGUAAAGAGUUCGUAGGCGGCACGUAAAGUCUGGUGUGAAAGGCAGAGGCUCAACUUCUGUACGGCACUGGAUACUUGCGAGCUAGCAUUCGGGAGAGGUAAAGGGAAUUCCUGGUGUAGCGGUGAAAUGCUUAGAUAUCAGGAGGAACAUCGGUGGCGUAAGCGCUUUACUGGGCCGUAAUUGACGCUGAGGAACGAAAGCCAGGGUAGCAAAUGGGAUUAGAUACCCGUGUAGUC
rnacentral:rRNA from 1 species